rnacentral:rRNA from 1 species
UACAGAGGUCCCAAGCGUUGUUCGGAUUUAUUGGGCGUAAAGGGCGCGUAGGCGGCUUGUCAAGUCACUUGUGAAAUCUCUGGGCUUAACCCAGAACGGCCAAGUGAAACUGACAUGCUAGAGUGCAGAAGGGGCAAUCGGAAUUCUUGGUGUAGCGGUGAAAUGCGUAGAUAUCAAGAGGAACACCUGAGGUGAAGACGGGUUGCUGGGCUGACACUGACGCUGAGGCGCGAAAGCCAGGGGAGCAAACGGG